rnacentral:rRNA from 1 species
UGGGGAAUUUUGGACAAUGGGCGCAAGCCUGAUCCAGCCAUGCCGCGUGCGGGAAGAAGGCCUUCGGGUUGUAAACCGCUUUUGUCAGGGAAGAAAUCUUCUGAGUUAAUACCUCGGGAGGAUGACGGUACCUGAAGAAUAAGCACCGGCUAACUACGUGCCAGCAGCCGCGGUAAUACGUAGGGUGCAAGCGUUAAUCGGAAUUACUGGGCGUAAAGCGUGCGCAGGCGGUUUUGUAAGACAGAGGUGAAAUCCCCGGGCUCAACCUGGGAACUGCCUUUGUGACUGCAAGGCUUGAGUGCGGCAGAGGGGGAUGGAAUUCCGCGUGUAGCAGUGAAAUGCGUAGAUAUGCGGAGGAACACCGAUGGCGAAGGCAAUCCCCUGGGCCUGCACUGACGCUCAUGCACGAAAGCGUGGGGAGCAAAACAGAUUAGAUACCCCUGGUAGUCCACGCCCCUAAAACGAUGUCAACUGGUUGUUGGGAAGGUUCCUUUCUCAGUAACGUAGCUAACGCGUGAAGUUGACCCGCCUGGGGGAGUACGGCCCGC